rnacentral:rRNA from 1 species
GAUGAACGCUGGCGGCGUGCCUAAUACAUGCAAGUCGAACGAGGUGCUUUUGUAGCAAUACGGAGGUAUCCUAGUGGCGAACGGGUGAGUAACGCGUUGGUGACCUACCCCGAAGUCUGGGAUAACAGUUCGAAAGGACUGCUAAUACCGGAUGUGUCAUCGGAUUUAGAAACCGAUGUCUAAAGGAUUUAUUCGCUUCGGGAGGGGCCUGCGUCCCAUCAGCUAGUUGGUAGGGUAAUGGCCUACCAAGGCGACGACGGGUAGGGGACCUGAGAGGGUGACCCCCCACAAUGGAACUGAAACACGGUCCAUACACCUACGGGUGGCAGCAGUAGGGAAUAUUGCACAAUGGGCGAAAGCCUGAUGCAGCAACGCCGCGUGUGCGAAGAAGGCCUUCGGGUCGUAAAGCACUUUUCUGGGAGAUGAGAAAGGACA